CCACUUUGUGAUUCAUGACUGGGGUGAAGUCGUAACAAGGUAACCGUAGGGGAACCUGCGGUUGGAUCACCUCCUUACCUGAAAGAAGC
rnacentral:rRNA from 4 species